UGUCUGCCACUGACCGCUAGGCCUCCCUUGUCAUCUCUCUCCCUGGUUCGUGUUCUUCCUGGAGACCAAUCCCGAUCCAAAUCCUCGUCUGGAUUCGGCUCGGAUCUUGCACCUCUCGCACUCCCACCUCCAUAUAAAUAUUCCCCAAGUCUGACUCUUCUGAUUUUUGCAAAAAUCUCCUGCUCCCGUGCCCUAUCUCGCCCGUACCAGAAGAUCGAAUCUCGCCGGAGUUUCGCCGCUGCUGACCUCCGCCGUCGUCGUUUCCAUUGCCUAUAGGAAGCUCCCGAGCACUUCGAACACCGUCGCCUUUGCUCCAGACGAGCGGCACCGCCUCUGCAGACCGUCCCCGAUCCCGAGAAGUGCACCUCCUGGGGCGCCGUGCCACGCCGCAUCCGACUCGAUCCUUUUCGAGUCCACCCUUAGACGUCUCCACCGGCGAAGUCCGAGCCGCCGUGCUUCAUCUUGCCCAAGUCCGGCAGCCUUCCUCUGUUUCUCCGAUUGUCCGGAGUGCGAAGCGGAUCAAAAUUGAGUGUUAGAGUACUUCAGCACUGUUCAAGGCAAG